CCCUGGAGGACUGAUGUGGUAGAAGGGUUUCGUGUGAACAGCCGUUGCACACGAGUCAGUCGAUCCUAAGCCCUAGGAGAAAUCCGAAGUCGAUGCGCGAGUCUUGCUAUGCUUUUUGCCCUGUGCGAAAAACAAACAGAGGUGCAGACCGCCGUCGGGCGAAAGGGAAUCCGGUUCCUAUUCCGGAACCCAGCAUCGGAACGUUCCAAUCGGCCUUAAGCUCGUCAGGGU
rnacentral:ncRNA from 1 species